GAUGAACGCUGGCGGCGUGCCUAAUACAUGCAAGUCGAGCGAACAGACGAGGAGCUUGCUCCUCUGACGUUAGCGGCGGACGGGUGAGUAACACGUGGAUAACCUACCUAUAAGACUGGGAUAACUUCGGGAAACCGGAGCUAAUACCGGAUAAUAUAUUUAACCGCAUGGUUCAAUAGUGAAAGACGGUUUUGCUGUCACUUAUAGAUGGAUCCGCGCCGCAUUAGCUAGUUGGUAAGGUAACGGCUUACCAAGGCAACGAUGCGUAGCCGACCUGAGAGGGUGAUCGGCCACACUGGAACUGAGACACGGUCCAGACUCCUACGGGAGGCAGCAGUAGGGAAUCUUCCGCAAUGGGCGGAAGCCUGACGGAGCAACGCCGCGUGAGUGAUGAAGGUCUUCGGAUCGUAAAACUCUGUUAUUAGGGAAGAACAAAUGUGUAAGUAACUAUGCACGUCUUGACGGUACCUAAUCAGAAAGCCACGGCUAACUACGUG
rnacentral:rRNA from 1 species